GAUGAACGCUAGCGGCAGGCUUAACACAUGCAAGUCGAGGGGUAGAGGCUUUCGGGCCUUGAGACCGGCGCACGGGUGCAUAACGCGUAUGCAAUCUGCCUUUCACAGAGGGAUAGCCCAGAGAAAUUUGGAUUAAUACCUCAUAGCAUAACACAACCGCAUGGUUGAGUUAUUAAAGUCACAACGGUGAAAGAUGAGCAUGCGUCCCAUUAGUUAGUUGGUAAGGUAACGGCUUACCAAGACUUCGAUGGGUAGGGGUCCUGAGAGGGAGAUCCCCCACACUGGUACUGAGACACGGACCAGACUCCUACGGGAGGCGGCAGUGAGGAAUAUUGGUCAAUGGGCGCAAGCCUGAACCAGCCAUGCCGCGUGCAGGAUGACGGUCCUAUGGAUUGUAAACUCCUUUUGUACGAGAAGAAACACUCCUUCGUGAAGGAGCUUGACGGUAUCGUAAGAAUAAGGAUCGGCUAACUCCGUGCCAGCCGCCGCCGUAA
rnacentral:rRNA from 1 species